UACGUAGGGAGCAAGCGUUGUCCGGAAUCAUUGGGCGUAAAGCGCGCGUAGGUGGCUUCAUAAGUCCGUUGUGAAAGUCAAAGGCUCAACCUUUGAAAGCCGAUGGAUACUGCCGGGCUAGAGUCCGGAAGAGGCGAGUGGAAUUCCUGGUGUAGCGGUGGAAUGCGCAGAUAUCAGGAGGAACACCAACGGCGAAGGCAGCUCGCUAGGACGGUACUGACGCUAAGGCGCGAAAGCGUGGGGAGCGAACAGG
rnacentral:rRNA from 1 species